rnacentral:lncRNA from 1 species
UUUUCAAAGUUGACCAGUCCAUUGAUUUUGUGAAAAAAAAAAUUUGGUCUUUGGUCGAACUCACACCUCUCCGUCUCGCUAAAGUCGCUGGUAAUGCUCCCAGCAAGUUCUAUAAAAUGUAAGCCAAUUUACUUUUACACCCACUCAAAGUAUGAUAUUGCUUUGUAGGAUUAAUUAUCUAAUUUAACAGCUUCUAUGCACUUAAGUGUUUAAAUAACGGAUUGCUUUUUCGACAUUUGGUUUUCUGCUUUGUAUUGUUUCAAAUAAUGUUUAAUGAUAUGGAUUAUGAUAUUUGUUACUUUUUAACUAAUUUAGAACUUCCGAUUCAGUGUACUCCAUCCUUCCCUCUCGGCACAUACAUUUGGUAACUGGAUUGUUUGGCGUGGAUUUGGUUAUCAACAUCUGAGAUCUGUAGUCCCUUGACGGCGUGUACCGUACGGAAGGUUCAAAAAUAUAUUUGGUCACAACUCACAAUAAAGCUGGAAUUCAAAGGGGAAGUGGCGGUCUGUUCACUGAAGUGGAAGAGAUUUAUCACUACAGCCAAGAGGGUAGACCUGACUGAUGUGGGCAUUGUUGGCGGUCUGUUCGCUGAAAUGGAAGAGAAGGACAAGGGGCUUCCAAAUUCUUUGUAUAUGGGUCGAGCCAAGGGACUUCCAAAUUCUUUGUUUACGUCAAGCAGAAUGACAGUGUGAGAUGCUCUGAACUCUGCUCUUAAUGAGGAAAUGGCUGCUGAUCCCAAUGUUUUUGUUAUGGACGAAGAGGUAGGAGAAUACCAAGGUGCAUACAAGGCUGGUGAAGUCUGGAAGCUUUACUCAUUCAUAUCCGUUUUGCUGGAGAUCUGAUACUCCUCUCAUCUACAGAUCCCUUCCCAG